rnacentral:tRNA from 1 species
GAGGGUGUAGCUUAGUGGUAGAGCCUAGCAUGCAUAAAGUCUUGGGUUCAACCCCCACCACCUCCA